CUUACUCCUUCCCGUUACUGUGCCCGACUCUCCUUCUCUCCCUCGCGCUCCCGAAGCUUCUCCUUGCCCUAACCGGCGCCGCAACAGCCGCCGCCACUGCCUCCUUUUCCCUCUCCUCUGGUCCGACGAGACACCGCCGUCCGCCCCUCUCGGCCGGAAGCUAGCCUCUGCCCUAGCCACCUCUCGCCGCCACCACAGCCUACGCCGAAGCCUUAAUCCCCCUGCUGCCGAAGCCCUAGCCGCCGGCGACGCACCGAGCCACCCCGAUCAUCUUCCUCCUUGCCCUAAUAGCCGAGCCCUAGGUGCCGACGCCCCUCCUCACUGCCGCUGUGACGCCAAGCGCCACUGCACAGAGCCGACGCCUUCUUCCCUUCACCGACGUGGAUCCAGCCGAGCUUUAGUGCCGGCUGCCACCACUGUGCCUUGCCGCCGCGACUCCUCCUCUUGUGGGCUCGCGACACAGCCGACUCCCUGCUGCUGGUGCCCUAGCUCCGAACCAAGUCUUCUUCUCCUCUUCCGAGCGCCGGCAGCCGACAAGAUCCUUUGCCCUAGUGCCCUCUGCCAUUGAUCAAGUCCCCGUAGGUUGUGCUGUUUUGGUGGAUCCGGAAAUUGGGGUGUUGUGGGCUGCUCUUUGGUCCAGCAGCCACUACUUUUGGCAGUAGAUCAGUGACCCCGACUGGGAUAUUGAGGACUUUGACGCGAGACGAGUAUCUCGGAGUCAGAUUUAGACCAUUUUAUCGG